rnacentral:rRNA from 1 species
GUUAUAGGAUCAAGCGACUAAGUGCAUGUGGUGGAUGCCUUGGCGAUCACAGGCGAUGAAGGACGUGCAAGCCUGCGAAAAGCGGGGGGGAGCUGGCAAUGGAGCUUUGAUCCCCCGAUAUCCGAAUGGGGAAACCCACUCCGCAAGGAGUAUCCCGUACUGAAUACAUAGGUACGUGGAGGCGAACGCAGCGAACUGAAACAUCUAAGUAGCUGCAGGAACAGAAAUCAACCGAGAUUCCGUAAGUAGUGGCGAGCGAACACGGAUGAGCCUGCACGACUAAACCAUCUAAUUAGCAGAACGGUCUGGAAAGUCCGGCAACACAGGGUGAUAGCCCCGUAUGUGAAAAUUAGGUGGCGGGUCUGAGCGUGCGACAAGUAGGGCGGGACACGAGAAAUCCUGUCUGAAGAUGGGGGGACCAUCCUCCAAGGCUAAAUACUCGUGAUCGACCGAUAGUGAACUAGUACCGUGAGGGAAAGGCGAAAAGAACCCCGGGAGGGGAGUGAAAUAGAUCCUGAAACCGCAUGCAUACAAACAGUGGGAGCCUCCUUGUGGGGUGACUGCGUACCUUUUGUAUAAUGGGUCAGCGACUUACGUUCAGUGGCGAGCUUAACCGAAUAGGGGAGGCGUAGCGAAAGCGAGUCUGAUAAGGGCGACAUAGUCUCUGGGCGUAGACCCGAAACCGGAUGAUCUAUCCAUGGCCAGGAUGAAGGUGCGGUAACACGCACUGGAGGUCCGAACCCACUAAUGUUGAAAAAUUAGGGGAUGAGCUGUGGAUAGGGGUGAAAGGCUAAACAAAUCCGGAAAUAGCUGGUUCUCCCCGAAAACUAUUUAGGUAGUGCGUCGUACGGACACUUGCGGGGGUAGAGCACUGUAAUCGUUGGGGGGGUCAAUGCGAUCUACCCCGCGAUAGCAAACUCCGAAUACCGCAAAGUGAUAUACGGCAGACAGACAGCGGGUGCUAACGUCCGUUGUCAAGAGGGAAACAACCCAGACCGCCAGCUAAGGUCCCAAAUGCAUGGCUAAGUGGCAAACGAAGUGGGAAGGCAUAGACAGCUAGGAGGUUGGCUUAGAAGCAGCCACCCUUUAAAGAAAGCGUAAUAGCUCACUAGUCGAGUCGUCCUGCGCGGAAGAUGUAACGGGGCUCAAGCCAUGAACCGAAGCUGCGGAUGUGUCUUAUGACACGUGGUAGGGGAGCGUUCCGUAAGCCUGCGAAGGUGUCUCGAGAGGGAUGCUGGAGGUAUCGGAAGUGCGAAUGCUGACAUGAGUAGCGAUAAAGGGUGUGAAAAGCACCCUCGCCGAAAGCCCAAGGUUUCCUGCGCAACGUUCAUCGGCGCAGGGUGAGUCGGCCCCUAAGGCGAGGCAGAAAUGCGUAGUCGAUGGGAAACAGGUCAAUAUUCCUGUACCGGUUCUAGAUGCGAUGGGGGACGGAGAAGGUUAGGCCAGCCGGGUGUUGGAAGUCCUGGUUUAAGCGUGUAGGAGUACCCCGUAGGCAAAUCCGCGGGGAUUAUCUGAGGCGUGAUGACGAGUCUCCUUGUGAGACGAAGUGGUUGAUACCCUGCUUCCAGGAAAAGCCUCUAAGCUUCAGUCUAGAAUCGACCGUACCGCAAACCGACACAGGUGGGCAGGUUGAAAAUACCAAGGCGCUUGAGAGAACUCAGGAGAAGGAACUCGGCAAAUUGAUACCGUAACUUCGGGAGAAGGUAUGCCCCGGUAGCUUGUAGGAGUACAUCCGAAGGGCGAAGGGGCCGCAGAGAAUCGGUGGCUGCGACUGUUUAUUAAAAACACAGCACUCUGCAAACACGAAAGUGGACGUAUAGGGUGUGACGCCUGCCCGGUGCCGGAAGGUUAAGUGAUGGGGUGCAAGCUCUUGAUCGAAGCCCCGGUAAACGGCGGCCGUAACUAUAACGGUCCUAAGGUAGCGAAAUUCCUUGUCGGGUAAGUUCCGACCUGCACGAAUGGCGUAACGAUGGCCACACUGUCUCCUCCUGAGACUCAGCGAAGUUGAAAUGUUUGUGAAGAUGCAAUCUACCCGCGGCUAGACGGAAAGACCCCAUGAACCUUUACUGUAGCUUUGCAUUGGACUUUGACGGGACUUGUGUAGGAUAGGUGGGAGGCUUUGAAGCGGGGACGCUAGUUCUCGUGGAGCCAACCUUGAAAUACCACCCUGGUGUCGUUGAGGUUCUAACCCAGGCCCGUGAAUCCGGGUCGGGAACAGUGCAUGGUGGGCAGUUUGACUGGGGCGGUCUCCUCCCAAAAGGUAACGGAGGAGUUCGAAGGUCUCCUAGGUACGGUCGGACAUCGUACUGAUAGUGCAAUGGCAAAAGGAGGCUUGACUGCGAGACCGACAAGUCGAGCAGGUGCGAAAGCAGGACAUAGUGAUCCGGUGGUUCUGUAUGGAAGGGCCAUCGCUCAACGGAUAAAAGGUACUCUGGGGAUAACAGGCUGAUUCCGCCCAAGAGUUCACAUCGACGGCGGAGUUUGGCACCUCGAUGUCGGCUCAUCACAUCCUGGGGCUGUAGCCGGUCCCAAGGGUAUGGCUGUUCGCCAUUUAAAGUGGUACGUGAGCUGGGUUUAAAACGUCGUGAGACAGUUUGGUCCCUAUCUGCCGUGGGCGCUGGAAGUUUGAGUGGACCUGCUCCUAGUACGAGAGGACCGGAGUGGACGCACCUCUGGUGUACCGGUUGUGACGCCAGUCGCAUCGCCGGGUAGCUAAGUGCGGAAGAGAUAACCGCUGAAAGCAUCUAAGCGGGAAACUCGCCUCAAGAUGAGACUUCCCUGGGGCCUAGAGCCCCCUGAAGGGUCGUGGAAGACCACCACGUUGAUAGGUCGGGUGUGGAAGCGCAGUAAUGCGUUAAGCUAACCGAUACUAAUUGCCCGUGAGGCUUGAUCCUAUAACCUUA